UAGGGAAUCUUCGGCAAUGGGGGGAACCCUGACCGAGCAACGCCGCGUGAGUGAAGAAGGUUUUCGGAUCGUAAAGCUCUGUUGUUAAGGAAGAACGAGUGUGAGAAUGGAAAGUUCAUGCUGUGACGGUACUUAACCAGAAAGGGACGGCUAACUACGUGCCAGCAGCCGCGGUAAUACGUAGGUCCCGAGCGUUGUCCGGAUUUAUUGGGCGUAAAGCGAGCGCAGGCGGUCAAUUAAGUCUGAUGUGAAAGCCCCCGGCUCAACCGGGGAGGGUCAUUGGAAACUGGUUGACUUGAGUGCAGAAGAGGAGAGUGGAAUUCCUAGUGUAGUGGUGAAAUACGUAGAUAUUAGGAGGAAUACCAGUAGCGAAGGCGACUUUCUGGACACAAACUGACGCUGAGGUACGAAAGCGUGGGGAGCAAACAGG
rnacentral:rRNA from 1 species